AUGCUUGCUUCAGCAGUAUAUAUACUAAAGUUGAAACAAUUCAGAAAAGACAUGCAUGGCCCCUGCACAAGGAUGACACAGAAAUUCAUGAAGCAUUCUAUAUUUAA